AUUUAAUAAAGUUUCACAUGUGAAUUAGCUUCAUAUGUGUGUAGAAGGUUGCUUUUACAGCAGGUCCUUAAGUACUCCCUUUGAAAUUCCUCCUUUUUUUUUAAGUCAUACCAUUACUUCUUUGGAUAUGAAUGUCACAAGUGGUAUCUCCUACUGUAGUAUGAGGAAGAAUGGCUGUUAAUGUAUUUUUUGAAUUUUGGUCUUGUCUUGGCCUGGAUCAUAUCCAGUCACCACUAUGCAACAAAUGAUGUGCACUGGGCAAGUAUAUGAUGGGUUAUGAAAGCUGUAUCUUGCUUGUUUUUUCUUUUGCAGUACUCCAAGUGGUCUAAACAGGAAUGUCUUGUAAAACCUCAAGACUCCCUAUUGAUUAUUCCCUUACAUAUUUAUUUACAAUUUAUCAGGGUAAUUGGUGGUGCCUUAUGAAAAGUAUAACUCGAUUUCUUGAUCUUUGAGCAUGUUUUGUGUUUCUUGUGUUUUCUAAAAGAAUAUUAGAUAUGGUUAAUUGCAUUACAUCUAAAAGAUUUAAAAAAUUGUGUGUAUGCUCAGGUUCCCCAUACCCGUACCCACCCCAACCCCUGUCAUUUACAUUGGUGGCAACUUUAAGUGGUAACCAAGCAAAAGUACAUUUUGAUAAUGAGUAUUGAUAAUCCUGAGGAAAACUAGUGAGUAUAUGGGAGCCACCUUUGACCUGUGCCAAAGCAGUUUCUAAUUUCAUUUGCUAACUAUAAAAUAAAGAACUGAGCCAAAAUAAUUUGAUCAGUGGUGUGAUUAGCCUAUUAUCAUUGCUGAGAAUAGUGUUUUUGGAGUGUGAAGUGAUUCCUGAAGAUUUCACCUGCCUUCUGUUUCCAGCAAGAAUCCAGUGAUGACCAACACAUUUCCUCACUUUUGGUUCUUGAGAAGUUUAUCCCUUUGCAACAAACCAUUAAUAGGGAAAACAAGGAAAUGCUUUCCCUUUCUCUUUGGCUUCUUAAAGCUCACAACCAAUUCAGACCCCAAGUUACUUCAGAGAAGCAAAUGGCACCUUUUCCCCAUUGCCAAGAAUCCCAGCUUAUGCAGAUAUGAAGGACGGAUCAUUUCUGAAAAUGUUAAGACUCUGCUUGCAGUGGACUUGGCCUCAGUUUCAUGAAAUGUGUAACUCUGUAUGUGUAUGUUAGGAGGAGGGUUGGUUGAAAGAGCGGGGGCAGGGAGGGGAAUCUGAUUACCUCUUGGGAAAUAAUUUUCUUGCCAACAAAAAGAUACACUUGAAGUUUCUUAAGGUGGCAAGUCCAUUAAAAAAAAAGAAUUGUGUUGGACCCUCCCAGUUUAGAUCAAGUAUUUCUUGGGGGUCUUGCUAUUGUGGUUGAUACCAAUAAAUGGAAGAUCCAGAAUAUUUUCAUUUAAAGCUCAACCAUGAAUUGGAACAUGGUGAAACAUUUUACACAUUGUAAAAGUAGGGAACAGUACAAAAGAAUGGAAUCAAAUACUAUAUUAUGUGAAUAAACUAGAGUGAUUUUGGAAUUUCACUCUCUUCACCCCUUCUCACUUGUAUGUUCUGUAAAGUGUAUUUCUACUUUGCUAGGUUGUGUAUCUUGUCAGUGGGG
rnacentral:lncRNA from 1 species